AACGAACGCUGGCGGCAUGCCUAACACAUGCAAGUCGAACGGGAUCCUGGUUUCGGCCAGGUGAGAGUGGCGGACGGGUGAGUAACGCGUGGGAACCUGCCCAGUGGUGGGGGAUAACUGCGGGAAACUGCAGCUAAUACCGCAUGAGCCCGCAAGGGGAAAGAUUGAUCGCCAUUGGAGGGGCCCGCGUUCGAUUAGGUAGUUGGUGAGGUAACGGCUCACCAAGCCUACGAUCGAUAGCUGGUCUGAGAGGAUGAUCAGCCACACUGGGACUGAGAUACGGCCCAGACUCCUACGGGAGGCAGCAGUGGGGAAUAUUGGACAAUGGGGCAACCCUGAUCCAGCAAUGCCGCGUGUGUGAAGAAGGCCUGCGGGUUGUAAAGCACUUUCAGUAGGGAAGAAAAGCCGAGUGCUAAUAUCACUCGGUCUUG
rnacentral:rRNA from 1 species